CUGCCCACGAAGCACACUGAGU
rnacentral:miRNA from 1 species